rnacentral:miRNA from 1 species
ACCUGAGACAUUACCUGGUUAUAACCAGGUUAUAACCUGGUUAUAACCUGAGACAUUACCUGGUUAUAACCAGGUUAUAACCUGGUUAUAUCCUGAGAAAUUAC